rnacentral:rRNA from 1 species
AAUAGAUACCCAGGUAGUCCAUGCCGUAAACGUUGGGAACUAGAUGUAGGGCCUGUUCCACGGGUUCUGUGUCGUAGCUAACGCAUUAAGUUCCCCGCCUGGGGAGUACGGCCGCAAGGCUAAAACUCAAAGGAAUUGACGGGGGCCCGCACAAGCGGCGGAGCAUGCGGAUUAAUUCGAUGCAACGCGAAGAACCUUACCAAGGCUUGACAUAUAGAAGAACACUGCAGAGAUGCAGGACUCUUUGGACACUUCUAUACAGGUGGUGCAUGGUUGUCGUCAGCUCGUGUCGUGAGAUGUUCGGUUAAGUCCGGCAACGAGCGCAACCCUCGUCCUAUGUUGCCAGCGGGUCAUGCCGGGGACUCAUGGGAUACUGCCGUGGUCAACACGGAGGAAGGUGGGGAUGACGUCAAAUCAUCAUGCCCCUUAUGUCUUGGGCUUCACGCAUGCUACAAUGGCCGGUACAGAGGGUUGCGAUGCCGCGAGGUGGAGCGAAUCCCAAAAAGCCGGUCUCAGUUCGGAGUU